rnacentral:lncRNA from 1 species
UCUAAGCAAACUCUGGAACUGGAAACGCACGUGAGGACAGAAAUGGAUCAAGAUUUAUCGUUGGUAAAAUUAACUCACAGAAGGCGCAUCAAAAGCAAGCAGUUACUUCCCCUCACCCUCCCAUAGCAGAAUUAGGACCAGCAACCAACCACUGCGUGCAUCAACGCUGUAAGCUCUGGUUAUAAAAAGUUGGCUGAAGGAAGAGAUCAAGAACAAGGCCAAAGAAACUGCAUACUGAUCACUAGUGUUCUGUAAAGUACAGAUAGAUAGGAAGUCCUCUAAAAAAAUUCAGUCAUGAAAAAGUGGCUCUAUGCUCUUUUACUGUUCGCUUUUACUGGCUGCACUGUCGCAAAUUUGGUGAACAUUCAAGACUGCGGUGGAAUUUUGAGAUUCAAUUGUUCAUCAUUACAAAACUGUCCUGUACAGUUCGAUCUAAAUAACUGCAACAAUCCAAGCAGAUGUCUACUUCAAAGAGGAACUAAGUACGAUAUAAACGUCCGCUUCAAGUGGGGUGCGUU